GAUGAACGCUGGCGGCGUGCCUAAUACAUGCAAGUCGAGCGAACAGACGAGGAGCUUGCUCCUCUGACGUUAGCGGCGGACGGGUGAGUAACACGUGGAUAACCUACCUAUAAGACUGGGAUAACUUCGGGAAACCGGAGCUAAUACCGGAUAAUAUAUUGAACCGCAUGGUUCAAUAGUGAAAGACGGUUUUGCUGUCACUUAUAGAUGGAUCCGCGCCGCAUUAGCUAGUUGGUAAGGUAACGGCUUACCAAGGCGACGAUGCGUAGCCGACCUGAGAGAGUGAUCGGCCACACUGGAACUGAGACACGGUCCAGACUCCUACGGGAGGCAGCAGUAGGGAAUCUUCCGCAAUGGGCGAAAGCCUGACGGAGCAACGCCGCGUGAGUGAUGAAGGUCUUCGGAUCGUAAAACUCUGUUAUUAGGGAAGAACAAAUGGGUAAGUAACUAUGCACGUCUUGACGGUACCUAAUCAGAAAGCCACGGCUAACUACGUG
rnacentral:rRNA from 1 species